GAUGAACGCUGGCGGCGUGCCUAAUACAUGCAAGUCGAGCGAACAGACGAGGAGCUUGCUCCUCUGACGUUAGCGGCGGACGGGUGAGCAACACGUGGAUAACCUACCUAUAAGACUGGGAUAACUUCGGGAAACCGGAGCUAAUACCGGAUAAUAUAUUGAACCGCAUGGUUCAAUAGUGAAAGACGGUUUUGCUGUCACUUAUAGAUGGAUCCGCGCCGCAUUAGCUAGUUGGUAAGGUAACGGCCUACCAAGGCGACGAUGCGUAGCCGACCUGAGAGGGUGAUCGGCCACACUGGAACUGAGACACGGUCCAGACUCCUACGGGAGGCAGCAGUAGGGAAUCUUCCGCAAUGGGCGAAAGCCUGACGGAGCAACGCCGCGUGAGUGAUGAAGGUCUUCGGAUCGUAAAACUCUGUUAUUAGGGAAGAACAAAUGUGUAAGUAACUAUGCACGUCUUGACGGUACCUAAUCAGAAAGCCACGGCUAACUACGUG
rnacentral:rRNA from 1 species